AUAGCUCAGUGGUAGAGCACUUACCUUAGGUGCAGGAGACCCUGAGUUCGAUCCCUAGU
rnacentral:tRNA from 1 species